rnacentral:rRNA from 1 species
UACGUAGGGUGCGAGCGUUGUCCGGAAUUAUUGGGCGUAAAGAGCUCGUAGGCGGUGUGUCACGUCGGCCGUGAAAACCUGCAGCUUAACUGUGGGCGUGCGGUCGAUACGGGCAUCACUGGAGUUCGGCAGGGGAGACUGGAAUUCCUGGUGUAGCGGUGAAAUGCGCAGAUAUCAGGAGGAACACCGAUGGCGAAGGCAGCUUGCUGGGACGGUACUGACGCUGAGACGCGAAAGCGUGGGGAGCAAACAGG